rnacentral:rRNA from 1 species
GAUGAACGCUGGCGGCGUGCCUAAUACAUGCAAGUCGAGCGAACGGACGAGAAGCUUGCUUUUCUGAUGUUAGCGGCGGACGGGUGAGUAACACGUGGAUAACCUACCUAUAAGACGGGGAUAACUUCGGGAAACCGGAUCUAAUACCGGAGAAUAUUUUGAACCGCAUGGUUCAAAAGUGAAAGACGGUCUUGCUGUCACAUAUAGAUGGAUCCGCGUUGCAUUAGCUAGUUGGUAAGGUAACGGCUUACCAAGGCAACGAUGCAUAGCCGACCUGAGAGGGUGAUCGGCCACACUGGAACUGAGACACGGUCCAGACUCCUACGGGAGGCAGCAGUGGGGAAUCUUCCACAAUGGGCGAAAGCCUGACGGAGCAACGCCGCGUGAGUGAUGAAGGUCUUCGGAUCGUAAAGCUCUGUUAUUGGGGAAGAACAUAUGUGUAAUUAACUGUGCACAUCUUGACGGUACCUAAUCAGAAAGCCACGGCUAACUACGUG